CCUACGGGUGGCAGCAGUGAGGAAUAUUGGUCAAUGGACGCAAGUCUGAACCAGCCAAGCCGCGUGAAGGAAGACGGCUCUAUGGGUUGUAAACUGCUUUUAUACGGGCGUAAAACGAGACACGUGUUCCUGUAUGAAAGUAGUCUAAGAAUAAGGAUCGGCUAACUCCGUGCCAGCAGCCGCGGUAAUACGGAGGAUUCAAGCGUUAUCCGGAUUUAUUGGGUUUAAAGGGAGCGUAGAUGGGAAGUUAAGUCAGUUGUGAAAGCUUGGGGCUCAACCGUGAAAUUGCAUUUGAUACUGUCAGUCUUGAGUGCAGUUGAGGUAGGCGGAAUUCGUGGUGUAGCGGUGAAAUGCUUAGAUAUCACGAAGAACACCGAUUGCGAAGGCAGCUUACUAAACUGUGACUGACGUUGAGGCUCGAAAGCGUGGGUAGCAAACAGGAUUAGAUACCCCAGUAGUC
rnacentral:rRNA from 1 species